CGCGUGAGAACUGCUGCGGGGUUCACGGUGGCAAGGCGGUAACGCCUUAUUUAUUAUAAGGAAUUUUAUUUAUUUUUUUUCCCCCUCCGCACCGUAACAGCUACCCAGAUAUGUGCGUAUGUCGUGUUAUUAUAGACUAUAUUAUACGAAUAAUAAUUAUUAUUACGAGCGGUUUCUUCUGGGGCGGUGUGGGAGGCGUACCAUUAAGUUAUUAUAGGUAUAAAGUCACUUUUUUUUUACCGAAAUGGGUCGGUCCGUUAUGUACAGGUACACAGUGGUGUACUUCCGGGCGGAGGGGAGGUUUCCGAGUUCAAAACCCCCGCCCCCGGAGCCCGAAAAGUAAAACAAAUUACGCGAACGAGCAGGGCGCCGUUAUAUUUCGCCGAAUAUGUCGACGUUUCAAACGAUUCCGUUGUCAGUUACGGCCCGUCGCACUGCGGUACCGUUACACUGCGCGCGCGUCACCGGUAAUCGGAUUUCGCGCGUACGCCGGGACGUUCCGAACCUCGCGGCCCCGUCGGCCACGUUACCGGUUACGUCCCGUUUAAGAAAAAAAAAAACGUCACUUACGCGCGCGAUCGAUGGGCGGCGAGACCCUUUCGGGGUCGCGUACCGCGGACGCGAACGGAAGUGUACGGCCGGCGCGCGGAUGAUGUCUGUCGCAUAUGGAGAUGUAUUACG